rnacentral:rRNA from 1 species
CGGACGGGUGAGUAAUGUCUGGGAAACUGCCUGAUGGAGGAGGAUAACUACUGGAAACGGUAGCUAAUACCGCAUAACGUCGCAAGACCAAAGAGGGGGACCUUAGGGCCUCUUGCCAUCGGAUGUGCCCAGAUGGGAUUAGCUAGUAGGUGGGGUAACGGCUCACCUAGGCGACGAUCCCUAGCUGGUCUGAGAGGAUGACCAGCCACACUGGAACUGAGACACGGUCCAG